AGCUCCGGGGUGUUAUCAUGUGAGAUUGCAAAUCUUAAGAAGCAAACUAGUCGUUUGCCGGGGCUU
rnacentral:tRNA from 1 species